AUGGUCCCGCUGAGGUCCUGCUACGCCCUCCCCUCCCCAGCCCUUUUCCAGAAACCAUACCGGGCUCAGAAUAGAGCUCCAAAGCGGUCAAAUUGAGCUGAGCAGGACAGGCCCAACCUUUCUCCACUGCCACAUCCCUCAUGCACAUCACUUAUCUCCCGCUGCAGGCCAAAAUUGGGCUAGUCCUGGCCAGGGAAAUCAGAAGCUCUUCUUGGGUGAGACUGAGCCUCCUGUUGCUCCCUGGAGUUCCAGAGGCUGGGCUGCAGCCCACUCAGCUUGCGGGCAAAACGUGCUCUCCUCUCUGCUUGUCAGCUGAGCAAGCCCAGGGAAUAGCCCUCAUCUCCCCAGGAAACUUCUCUGAAAUCUUAUACUUAGCCAGUCUCAGGCCUACAAUGCCACAAAACGGUUGUUCAGGGAGAAGGGGGUGCAGGAGGGCAGAGGGUGCCCCGCAGGGAGCUGGUAGCUCCAGCCUCACUAGAGCUCCUAAAGAUCACACAGCAGCUGCUCCUGACAGGGAUGCUCAUGCCCAGAAAGAAACUCCAGGAGAGGAAGGCAGAGCGAGACAGAGCAGAGCCAGGGCCAGGAGCACCAGGAGAGGUGUUUCUGGGGCUCCGGGGAAGUGCCACAGGAGGCAGAAGUCCAGAACUGCCCAUCUAGUUGCCCUUCUAUGUCCUGGAGCCCAAAUCAGUCCUGGGUGGGAAGUUCCCAGGGCAGUGGCCACAUCGUGAGAAUUAGCAGGAAAGGCGGGGCCUUUCUCAUCAUAGCUAUUUCUGAGGAUGAAAUGGGAGACAUAUGCCCAGCACCUGAUGUAAAUUUAUGUAAUGUAAUACUACGUACCUACCGCUAAGAAAUACAUGAGCCGUGCCAUGUGGACAGUAAGUGUUCAUAAAGCAACGUGAAGCAAGAAACAGUGCAGGGUGCCCAGUGCACACACUAGAGAGAAAUUGUGGACAUUAAGCACAAGGAGAAUUGGUGUCUUUCUAAAACAUACUUAUUUAAAAACAUGUAUCCACUUACUAAUGUGGAAUUACACAGUUUGUAACAAGAAAACAGUCUCUCCCAUUCUCUAGUACAGCUCCCCUACCCAGUAGUCACUUCUAGUUCGUUCAACUAUUUUUAAAAUGUGUAUAUGACUCUUGCUUGAUAUAUCAAUCUUAGGCAUUACCUAUUGACUCCCUGUUGUCAUACAUGAGGCUUUAGCUCUCUUUUGUCAGCACCCCUCCCCCAUCCCUAGUUAUUAGGUUAAAAAAUACUCAGAUUACUAUUUCUAUUACUAUGUGAGUUAUUAACUGCGGAGCCAAGAGUUGGACUAUAAUUAAAUUACCUUCCUUGUACUGUUUUUUAAAUGGA